UAAGGAAUAUUGCUCAAUGGGAGAAAUCCUGAAGCAGCAACGCCGCGUGGAGGAUGAAGGGUCUAUGACUUGUAAACUCCUGUAAAGAAGGAAAAAAUUCCCAUUUGAUGGGAGAUGAUGGUACUUCUGGAGUAAGCCCCGGCUAACUACGUGCCAGCAGCCGCGGUAAUACGUAGGGGGCAAGCGUUGUCCGGAUUUACUGGGUGUAAAGGGUGCUCAGGCGGAUUUGUAAGUCAGAGGUGAAAUCUUACAGCUUAACUGUGAAACUGCCUUUGAUACUGCAAGCCUAGAGUAUGGAAGAGAGUGAUGGAAUAUCUGGUGUAGCAGUGAAAUGCGUAGAUAUCAGAUAGAACACCAAUGUCGAAGGCGGUCACUUGGUCCAUUACUGACGCUAAAGCACGAAAGCGUGGGUA
rnacentral:rRNA from 1 species